UUUAUUUUGCAGGUGGAAUUGCAGGGGAAGAAGAACCCUUGAAAUUUGGCCUCAGGAAACAGCAAUAGGUUAAUCUUAACUGUCUUUUCCAUUUUCAGCAAAAAGUAAAAGUGCUCAGAAUGAGCUUUCCUUCAAUUCAGUAGAAGGUGCUCUAUAUUUUGCAGGUGGAAUUGCAGGGGAAGAAGAACCCUUGAAAUUUGGCCUCAGGAAACAGCAGGAGGAGCUCUUUAUUUUGCAGGUGGAAUUGCAGGGGAAGAAGAACCCUUGUAAUUUGGCCUCAGGAAACAGCAAGAGGUAGAAUUGCAGGGGAAGAAGAACCCUUGAAAUUUGGCCACAGGAAACAGCAAGAGG